rnacentral:rRNA from 1 species
CACGUAGGGGGCAAGCGUUGUCCGGAUUUAUUGGGCGUAAAGAGCUCGUAGGCGGUCUGUCGCGUCGAAUGUGAAAACCCGGGGCUCAACCCCGGGCCUGCAUUCGAUACGGGCAGACUAGAGUUCGGUAGGGGAGUCUGGAAUUCCUGGUGUAGCGGUGAAAUGCGCAGAUAUCAGGAGGAACACCGGUGGCGAAGGCGGGACUCUGGGCCGAUACUGACGCUGAGGAGCGAAAGCGUGGGGAGCAAACAGG